UACGGAGGGCGCAAGCGUUGUUCGGAGUUACUGGGCGUAAAGCGCGUGUAGGCGGCCAGGUAAGUCGGAUGUGAAAGCCCGGGGCCCAACCCCGGAACUGCACCCGAUACUGUCUGGCUGGAGUCCCGGAGAGGAUGGCGGAAUUUCCGGUGUAGAGGUGAAAUUCGUAGAUAUCGGAAGGAACACCAGUGGCGAAGGCGGCCAUCUGGACGGUGACUGACGCUGAGACGCGAAAGCGUGGGGAGCAAAUAGG
rnacentral:rRNA from 1 species